AGCGAACGCUGGCGGCGUGCUUAACACAUGCAAGUCGAACGAAGGCUUCGGCCUUAGUGGCGGACGGGUGAGUAACGCGUGGGAACCUACCUUGCGGCGGGGAAUAACAGUUGGAAACGACUGCUAAUACCGCAUACGCCCUACGGGGGAAAGGCUUCGGCCACCGCUUGAGGGUCCCGCGUCCGAUUAGCUAGUUGGUGAGGUAACGGCUCACCAAGGCGACGAUCGGUAGCUGGUCUGAGAGGAUGAUCAGCCACACUGGGACUGAGACACGGCCCAGACUCCUACGGGAGGCAGCAGUGGGGAAUAUUGGACAAUGGGGAAACCCUGAUCCAGCGACGCCGCGUGAAUGAUGAAGGCCUUAGGGUUGUAAAGUUCUUUCGUCCGUGACGAUGAUGACAGUAGCGGAAGAAGAAGCUCCGGCUAACUUCGUGCCAGCAGCCGCAGUAAUAC
rnacentral:rRNA from 1 species